UACGGAGGGUGCAAGCGUUAUCCGGAUUCACUGGGUUUAAAGGGUGCGUAGGCGGGCAGGUAAGUCAGUGGUGAAAUCUCUGAGCUUAACUCAGAAACUGCCGUUGAUACUAUCUGUCUUGAAUACUGUGGAGGUAAGCGGAAUAUGUCAUGUAGCGGUGAAAUGCUUAGAUAUGACAUGGAACACCUAUUGCGAAGGCAGCUUGCUACACAGUAAUUGACGCUGAGGCACGAAAGCGUGGGGAUCAAACAGG
rnacentral:rRNA from 1 species